rnacentral:other from 1 species
GUUCUACUGCGGCGUUGGUGACUGCCAAUAAUGUUUUAUGAUCUAUGCCUUUUGAACACGGGAGCCAAGCUGUUCCGGUGGCAGUAAACCAGGUUCGACCUGGAAACUUUAAACCGGGGCCAGGAUUCCCACCUGGAUUUGUCCAGGUCAAAAACUGAGGUAAGACGGCGCUGUGGGGAACCC